GACGAACGCUGGCGGCGUGCUUAACACAUGCAAGUCGAACGGUGAUGCUCCAGCUUGCUGGAGUGGAUCAGUGGCGAACGGGUGCGUAACACGUGAGCAACCUGCCCCAGACUCUGGAAUAAGCGCUGGAAACGGCGUCUAAUACUGGAUACGAAACUGGCCCGCAUGGGCAUGGUUUGGAAAGUUUUUCGGUUUGGGAUGGGCUCGCGGCCUAUCAGCUUGUUGGUGAGGUAAUGGCUCACCAAGGCGACGACGGGUAGCCGGCCUGAGAGGGCGACCGGCCUCACUGGGACUACGACACGGCCCAGACUCCUACGGGAGGCAGCAGUGGGGAAUAUUGCACAAUGGGCGAAAGCCUGAUGCAGCGACGCCGCGUGAGGGAUGACGGCCUUCGGGUUGUAAACCUCUUUCAGCAGGGAAGAAGCGAAAGUGACGGUACCUGCAGAAGAAGCACCGGCUAACUACGUG
rnacentral:rRNA from 1 species